GACGAACCACACGAACGUUAUUCGGAAUUACUGGGCUUAAAGGGUGCGUAGGCGGCGCGGUAAGUAGGGUGUGAAAUCCCCUCGGCUCAACCGAGGAACUGCGCUCUAAACUACCGUGCUCGAGGGAGAUAGAGGUGAGCGGAACUUAGGGUGGAGCGGUGAAAUGCGUUGAUAUCCUAAGGAACACCGGUGGCGAAAGCGGCUCACUGGAUCUCUUCUGACGCUGAGGCACGAAAGCUAGGGUAGCGAACGGG
rnacentral:rRNA from 1 species